GAAAUGCGAUAAGUAAUGUGAAUUGCAGAAUUCAGUGAAUCAUCGAAUCUUUGAACACACAUUGCGCCCGCCAGUAUUCUGGCGGGCAUGCCUGUUCGAGCGUCAUUUCAACCAUCAAGCCCCCGGGCUUGUGUUGGGGACCUGCGGCUGCCGCAGGCCCCGAAAACCAGUGGCGGGCUCGCUGUCACACCGGGCGUAGUAGAUUUUUCGUCUCGCCCAGGGCGUGCUGCGGGUUCCGGCCGUUAAAAAGCCUCUCUUUUAACCCAAGGUUGACCUCGGAUCAGGUAGGAAGACCCGCUGAACUUAAGC
rnacentral:misc_RNA from 1 species